rnacentral:misc_RNA from 1 species
AACGCACAUUGCGCCCUCUGGUAUUCCGGGGGGCAUGCCUAUUCGAGCUUCAUUAUACCCAUCAAGCUCUGCUUGGCCUUGGGCGCCGCCGUCAGGGCGCGCCUCAAAAUCAGUGGCGGUGUCCCGCAGCUUCAAGCGUAGUAAUUCUUCUCGCUAUGGACGCUGGGGGCGCGCUGGCCAGCAACACCAUAAUUUUUCUUGGUUGAACUCGGAUUAGGUAGGGAUACCCGCUGAACUUAA